rnacentral:rRNA from 4 species
AGAGUACGUGAAACCGUUCAGGGGUAAACCUGAGAAACCCGAAAGGUCGAAAGGGGAGAUUCAGCGUGUCUCGAUUGCGGCGCUGGAUGGUCGUGCGACGGAAGACGUACGCGUCAUCCGCACCUUCCGUCCUCCGAACCGUAGUCGAACGCGUGCACUUCUCCCCCUGUAGGACGUCGCGAUCCGUUGGGUGCCGGUCUAAGGCCCGCAGUGGAGCCCGUUCGGACGGUUUACCGUUCCGGACGAACCUGCGGUGUUUCCCGGUCGGCUCGCUCGACGGUAUACAGAUGGCGCGGGGCCGCUACACAUUAGUUAGCGUCCGACCGGCGGCAAGCGCGCUCGUCGUGACGGUGAUCGGACCUGGUGCCGGUCCUGUCCCCGAGUGGCUGUUCGCUGCCGUGUUCUCGGACAGACCUCGUCGAAACGCCGAUCUGCGACGCUAUAGCUUUGGGUACUUUCAGGACCCGUCUUG